rnacentral:rRNA from 1 species
GGACUACCAGGGUAUCUAAUCCCGUUUGCUCCCCUGGCCUUCGUGCCUCAGCGUCAGGAACUGUCCAGAGAUCCGCCUUCGCCACUGGCCUUCCUCACGAUAUCUACGCAUUUCACUGCUACACCGUGAAUUCCGAUCUCCUCUCCAGUCCUCGAGCAAAGCAGUAUCAAAUGCAGUUCCGGGGUUGAGCCCCGGGAUUUCACAUCUGACUUGCUUCGCCGCCUACGCACCCUUUACGCCCAAUGAAUCCGAACAACGCUUGAGACCUCUGUAUUACCGCGGCGGCUGGC